rnacentral:misc_RNA from 1 species
GAUGAAGAACGCAGCGAAAUGCGAUAAGUAAUGUGAAUUGCAGAAUUCAGUGAAUCAUCGAAUCUUUGAACGCACAUUGCGCCCGCCAGUACUCUGGCGGGCAUGCCUGUUCGAGCGUCAUUUCAACCAUCAAGCCCCAGGCUUGUGUUGGGGACCUGCGGCUGCCGCAGGCCCUGAAAACCAGUGGCGGGCUCGCUGUCACACCGGGCGUAGUAGAUUUUAUCUCGCUCAGGGCGUGCUGCGGGUUCCGGCCGUUAAAAAGCCUUUUUUACCCAAGGUUGACCUCGGAUCAGGUAGGAAGACCCGCUGAACUUAAGCAUAUCAAUAAGCGGAGGA